rnacentral:rRNA from 1 species
CAGCAGCCGCGGGAAUACGUAGGGUGCAAGCGUUAAUCGGAAUUACUGGGCGUAAAGCGUGCGCAGGCGGUCCGCUAAGACAGAUGUGAAAUCCCCGGGCUUAACCUGGGAACUGCAUUUGUGACUGGCGGGCUAGAGUAUGGCAGAGGGGGGUAGAAUUCCACGUGUAGCAGUGAAAUGCGUAGAGAUGUGGAGGAAUACCGAUGGCGAAGGCAGCCCCCUGGGCCAAUACUGACGCUCAUGCACGAAAGCGUGGGGAGCAAACAGGAUUAGAUACCCCGGUAGUCCCUGUCUCUUAUAC